rnacentral:lncRNA from 1 species
ACUGAGGCAUAAGACCUCACUGAGGCAGAAUACCUCACUGAGGAAGAAGGCCGGCGAAGAUCUCAAAGAUCUCCCGGAGCAAAAACGGCCGGGAUCCCCAAGAUCGUCCGGUGCCACAAGCAAAAACAACUCAUAAGAACAUAGUUCCGAUCUCACAUAAAAGAUUGGGGCACGGGAUCAUAAAUGAAAAGCUAAACUC